GUUGAAUUUAUUAUAUUACAUUCCACAGCUGUCCAGAUUAUUUUGCUGGGCUAUGAAAUAGAUCAAGUAACAAAAGACAUAAAAACAUCUCCAUCUAAUGAAGACUUAAAGCGAAGACGGGAUGAAAAACUCAAAGAAAUGAAUGCGUUAAAGAAGGAACUUGAGAAAAGUGAACCUAACUCUGGAAAAAUUCUUAAAGUUAUAUCGCAGAUGGAGGAAAUCUGGAAACUACAGAGCGAAGAUCCAGAUAAUUUACAAAAAAUCAGCA